GACGAACGCUGGCGGCGUGCUUAACACAUGCAAGUCGAACGAAAAGAGGGAAAGAGCUUGCUCUUUCCGGAAUUGAGUGGCAAACGGGUGAGUAACACGUAAACAACCUGCCUUCAGGAUGGGGACAACAGACGGAAACGACUGCUAAUACCGAAUAAGUUCCAAGAGCCGCAUGGCCCAUGGAAGAAAAGGUGGCCUCUACCUGUAAGCUAUCGCCUGAAGAGGGGCUUGCGUCUGAUUAGCUGGCUGGCGGGGUAACGGCCCACCAAGGCGACGAUCAGUAGCCGGUCUGAGAGGAUGAACGGCCACACUGGAACUGAGACACGGUCCAGACUCCUACGGGAGGCAGCAGGGGGGAAUCUUCCGCAAUGGGCGAAAGCCUGACGGAGCAACGCCGCGUGAGUGAUGACGGCCUUCGGGUUGUAAAACUCUGUGAUCCGGGACGAAAAGGCAGAGUGCGAAGAACAAACUGCAUUGACGGUACCGGAAAAGCAAGCCACGGCUAACUACGUG
rnacentral:rRNA from 1 species